CGGUUGAGUCGACCCAGCCAAGAUGGAAGCCGGGGAAGACGGGCUCGGUGAAGGUGGUGUGGAAGGUGUGGAGGAGAGUCCGGUCACCACAGGAGACCCUAAAGAAGGACAGCGACCCUGCCGCCCAGUCCAGUUCAGGCCCCAGGAGACGUCAUUGCGGCCCAACCAGCGGUCAUUACCCUCUCCUUUCCUCAACAUCCGUCUGUAGGCCACACCGAUGCAGACCCGCCCGACCCACUCCGUCUCCCAGUAGCAGCGCCCGCCACACAAGUUGACACGAAGUUGCUGCGCCGCUCAGCCACGACAAACUCGCUGAGCAUCAGGGGGUCAGGGGCUUGUGGCUGCAGGGCGUCACGACAACAGGACCUGACGGAGGAGAGACAUUAUUGCUCACUCACUCUCCCCUCCACCCGACAUUCAGUCGGAUUGUUGCUCCAAAGCUGCGGAGAAUGGGAGUGUCAUGACUCAACUCUUGGCCCCGGCCGCCUUGUAAGUUGUCAUGAUGUAACAGAUGGCGUAGUCAUCCUCAUUAGUCACAACAAAGGAAGAAGUCUGGCCUGAAUAUAUCAAAGCUGCUGAGACUCUAAUUUCGCAAACUUGUGUUUACUGGACACGUUUGGAGUUUGUUGCAAAUGAAACAUAAGA